rnacentral:rRNA from 1 species
CCUACGGGAGGCAGCAGUAGGGAAUUUUCGUCAAUGGGCGCAAGCCUGAACGAGCAAUGCCGCGUGAACGAGGAAGGUCUUCGGAUCGUAAAGUUCUGUUGAAGGGGAAAAAGAGCGGAGAGAGGAAAUGCUUUCUGAUUGAUAUUACCCUUCGAGGAAGUCACGGCUAACUACGUGCCAGCAGCCGCGGUAAUACGUAGGGGGCGAGCGUUAUCCGGAAUGAUGGGGCGUAAAGGGUGCGUAGGCGGCCUGCUAAGUCUGGAGUGAAAGGUACCGGCUCAACCGGUACAGGCUCUGGAAACUGGCGGGCUAGAGAGCAGGAGAGGGCGGUGGAACUCCAUGUGUAGCGGUAAAAUGCGUAGAUAUAUGGAAGAACACCAGUGGCGAAGGCGGCCGCCUGGCCUGUUACUGACGCUGAGGCACGAAAGCGUGGGGAGCAAAUAGGAUUAUAUAUCCCAGUAGUC